UAGUUCAGUGGUAGAAUGCUUAUCUGCCACACAGGAGACCUGGGUUCAAUUCCCAUG
rnacentral:tRNA from 1 species